UACAGAGGGGGCAAGCGUUAUUCGGAAUUAUUGGGCGUAAAGGGCGCGUAGGCGGCUUGGCAAGUGGAUGGUGAAAUCCCUCGGCUUAACCGAGGAACUGCCAUCCAGACUGCUUUGCUUGAGGCCGGGAGAGGUGAGUGGAAUUCCCAGUGCAGCGGUGAAAUGCGUAGAUAUUGGGAGGAACACCAGUGGCGAAGGCGGCUCACUGGACCGGUUCUGACGCUGAGGCGCGAAAGCGUGGGGAGCAAACGGG
rnacentral:rRNA from 1 species